rnacentral:rRNA from 1 species
AUCUGCCCAAUGAUUAUUAAAUGGCUGCGGUAAUUUGACCGUACGAAGGUAGCAUAAUAAUUAGUCUUUUAAUUGAAGUCUGGAAUGAAAGAUUGGAUGAGAAAAUAACUUUCUUUAUUAUUUUAAUUUGAACUUGAUUUUUAAGUGAAAAAGCUUAAGUUUUUUUAUGGGACGAUAAGACCCUAUAGAGCUUGAAAUUUUUUGUUUUAAAAUAUUUUUAGGUUUAAUAGUUUUUUAUUAUAAUGAAUUUUUUGUUGGGGUGACAAAUAAAAUUUUUUUGUCUUUUUUUUUUUUAUUCAAUUAUAUUUGAUUUUUUUGAUCCUUAUAUUUAAGAUUAGAAGAUAAAGUUACCUUAGGGAUAACAGCGUUAUUUAUUAUUAGAGUUCUUAUCGAUUAAUAAGUUUGCGACCUCGAUGUUGGAUUAAGAUUAGGGAAGGGUGAAGG